AGCAGCAUCUAUAUCCUCUGACCU
rnacentral:siRNA from 1 species